UAAUUUUUUCCAGGAUUUCAGGGGGGCAAAUGCCCCCUCUUGUCCCUAUGCGUGGGCACCCAUGCAAGUAUAUAUUACACAGUUUCUUCAUGUUUUACUUGUUUUCUCUAUUAGGAUACCAUUGAUGCGUUGUCAUUUUCACCAUGUGGACGGUUCUUAGCAUCUGCUGGAGGGGAUAAGCGCAUUUUAGUGUGGGAUAUGUCCCAUGGCAACUUGAUCACAGAAAUGGCAUCUCACACCUCAACGAUAUUCACAAUAUGCUUUUCCAGAGACUGCAAUAUACUUGCCUCAGGUGGACUAGACAACUGUGUGAAGCUUUGGGAUUUUGGCAAGGUACUAGAAGACAACCAUGAAGAUGACAUAAAUGUCUCACAAAAUUCAGAUGUGAAGAGAGGAGAAGAGAGUUUGCUGCUUGGAACUUUCCCCACCAAGAACACUCCCGUUUUGGCAACACACUUUACGAGAAGAAAUGUAUUAUUAGUGUCAGGACCAUUUGAAGGUUAAUGUUUUUUUCAAAAUAUGCAUUUGUAGCGUCAGGACCUACUGAAGUUUAUUUUUAAUGGACAUGUUCAUGACUGUAUGUAUUGUGUAUUAGUUUGAUAGAAAGUAUAAUUAUUUAUAGUAUUCAGAUGAAUUAUUUCAUUAUUUUGCAAAGUGAACCUAACGUCAUUUGCAGUGAAUGCAAUUGUCACAGGUUCUUAAACUGAAGACCUUUGCCUGUGCAUCAUGUUCAUAUUUCUCAUCUAAUCCCAAGUACAAAAAAAUCAAGAAUGCUUGUUUGUAUGUCAUAGUAUCUAUGGUAUGAAAUUUUCAAUCUCCCAUCUGUUAUUUUUGUACAAACAAAAAAACAUGUCAUUGUUGAACUGUCUGUGGCGUAUGGAAAUUUUUUUUAAUAAAAUGCCAAAGGUAAUUUAAUAUUUUAUUAUUUAUAAUAGGUACUUUUUUAACUGUACAAGAUUGCUGUCUGACUUUAGGGUUUUAGUGUACACAUGAAACAGGAUCAGUUGUGCUUGGCUUGGCAACUGCAGAUAUUAAAUCUUCAAAAUGGAUGCCACACAUCAAUCAAAUAUAAGAACUGAGCAAUUCCAAGCACAACUGAGCAGAGCUAAUAUGACGUGCCAACCAUAGUCGAUCCUUAAACUUCUUAUAUAUCAGGUUAACUUUCAUUUUAAAAUAUGGAAAAUAAACCUCAUAUACUUUAAGGCCUAUCAUUGCUGGAGUGGUCAUAUAUUGACAUUUGAAAUGCCUCGCAAUGGUCGUGCCAUGGUGAUGAUGAGAGCUUGCAAUCUGAUCACCAAGAUUUGAAGAGUUUGCAAUCUGACCAUCAAAAGCCAAAAAAGCAUGCUUUUAAAAGCCAUUAAAACUAUUCUUUAAUGGUAUCAUUUGAAAAUCAUAAAUAUACUUCUAAUACAAUUAAAAAUCUUGAUAAACACUUUCAAUGUCAUAUUUAUUAUAUCAAUGGCACACCCACAGCUGGGCAUUCAUUACAGCAUAUAUUCAAUUGGCCAAAAGCAUCAUGUACCAGGAUGCAAAAGGAGUACAAUUGACGGUCAGAUUAGACAUGGGAGCCCGAAACUCUAAUCUCAAUAUGCAGCAACAUACUAUCGGUCAUCGCCAAUCAUACUAAUAGUUUUUCCUGUUACUGUACACGCGUUGUCUGUCAUUAACUAUUUUACUGUUACAAUUAUCCCUGAAAUUUUUUUAUUUCUGCAAAAGCCAUUAGAGAUCUCUAAAAACUACUGUUGCUUGCCAGCCUUUGUAGUUUAGCUACCCAAGUCUAAUCUUUUCCGUUAAUAUGACGGUAAACAAAAAAAAAUUUACAAAUGACAUAGAAAUUCUUCCCUACUUUAUAAAAAGAAACUUAAAUAGAUAAUAUACAUUAUUAUCACAUGGCCAAUCAUGGUCAAGCAUAAGAUGGGACUGGACUUUUUCUCAGAUGUGAUGCAGACUGUUUGUAACAAAAAUGGUUCAAGUGAAUUAUGAAUGCUCACCGUUCCAUGUAUGACCAUGUUAGCUCAAAAAUCAACUCUUAACUCUGGUGAUUACUCUCGCAUAAUCUGAUAUCGUCCUUGUCAGAUGUUGGUAAAAACAGGUUGUAAACCAUGAUACACAAGAACAUGCAUCAAUAUACUGUACAACACCUAACUAUAUCAAUUUCAUAUAUUAAUGAUAAGCUUUAUAAACAUAUUCUCUCUCCUUCACUUUGGUGAGCAGAUUAACUGUUGGAGCGCAAGAUCCCUCACAAAAUAUGACUUAGUGAGAAGGCAAGAAACCUUUCUAACCACUUUGUGAACCUAGAGUGUUCAGGAGUUUUUUUU